AUCAACGCUGGCGGCGCGCCUAACACAUGCAAGUCGAGCGAGAAAGGGGGGCAACUCCUGAGUACAGCGGCGUACGGGUGAGUAACACGUGGAUAAUCUACCUCUUAGUGGGGAAUAACGCUGGGAAACCGGCGCUAAUACCGCAUAAGCCUGAGAAGGGAAAGCAGCAAUGCGCUGAGAGAGGAGUCCGCGGCCGAUUAGCUAGUUGGUGGGGUAAAGGCUCACCAAGGCAAAGAUCGGUAGCCGGCCUGAGAGGGCACACGGCCACACUGGCACUGAAACACGGGCCAGACUCCUACGGGAGGCAGCAGUGGGGAAUCUUGCACAAUGGGGGAAACCCUGAUGCAGCGACGCCGCGUGAGCGAUGAAGCCCUUCGGGGUGUAAAGCUCUUUCGGCAGGGAAGAUAAUGACGGUACCUGCAGAAGCAGCUGCGGCUAACUACGU
rnacentral:rRNA from 1 species